CACGUAGGGUGCGAGCGUUGUCCGGAAUUAUUGGGCGUAAAGGGCUCGUAGGCGGUCCAUCGCGUCGGGUGUGAAAAGCUGGGGCUUAACCCCAGUCCUGCUUUCGAUACGGGUGGACUAGAGGUAGGCAGGGGAGAAUGGAAUUCCUGGUGUAGCGGUGAAAUGCGCAGAUAUCAGGAGGAACACCGGUGGCGAAGGCGGUUCUCUGGGCCUUACCUGACGCUGAGGAGCGAAAGCAUGGGGAGCAAACAGG
rnacentral:rRNA from 1 species